UCACAUCGCCCACCGACGCCCAAAUCUUAAUUUAUUUUGUUUCCAUAGACGAUCGCGAUUUGGAACAGCGAGCGAGCGAUUGGGCGCCCCCAAAUUUAAUUCUUGGAGGCCGAGAAUUGGAAAGAAGCGUAAUUGGAAUCCCUCCAAUCCCCAAUGGCGGAGCUGGCCGCAACGAAGGCGGCGGCCGAGCAGGAUGCGAAGGCCAAGAAAGGCGGCGGCGGAAGAGGCAAAGGGCUCCUUCUCGGGCGAUUCGAAGUCGGGAAGCUCCUCGGCGCCGGCACCUUUGCCAAGGUCUAUGUCGCCCGCAACGUGCGGACCGACGAGCUCGUCGCCAUCAAAGCCCUCGACAAGGAAGCCAUCCUCAAGGGAGGCCUCGUGCCUCACAUCAAGCGUGAGAUCUCCAUCCUCCGCCGCGUGCGCCACCCCUACAUCGUCGAGCUGUUCGAGGUCAUGGCUACGAAGACUAAGAUUUACUUCGUCAUGGAGUACGUCCGCGGCGGCGAGCUCUUCUCCCGGGUCUCCAAGGGCCGCCUCCUUGAGGACACCGCCCGGCGCUACUUCCAGCAGCUCAUCUCCGCCGUGGCCUUUUGCCACUCCCGCGGUGUCUACCACCGCGAUCUAAAGCCAGAGAACCUCCUUUUGGACGAGAAAGGUGACCUAAAGGUCUCCGACUUUGGGCUUUCCGCAGUCGCCAGCCAGAUUCGAAGCGACGGCCUUUUCCACACCUUCUGCGGAACCCCGGCAUACGUCGCUCCCGAGGUCCUCUCCCAGCGAGGCUAUGACGGCGCCAAAGUUGACAUUUGGUCUUGCGGCGUCAUUCUCUUCGUGCUCAUGGCCGGCCAUCUACCCUUUUACGACCGAAGCGUCGUGGCCAUGUAUCGCAAGAUCUAUAAGGGCGUAUUCAGGUGUCCCCGAUGGUUCUCGCAGGAACUCAUCGACCUCCUACACCGUCUUCUCGAUGUUAAUCCCCAAACUCGGAUCACCAUCCCCGAGAUAAUGGAGAAUCCCUGGUUCAAGAAAGGGUUCCGCCACAUUCGAUUCUAUAUUGAAGACAAUGAGCUGCAUAGCAUAACUGAACCAGAAGAUGACCAAUUGCGGAAUGUUGAUGAACCUAGUCGGGCGGAUGAGCCAUACGAAUCGGGGUCUGAGUCGGACUGCUCAGUUGCUUCCUGUCCAGCUACUUUCUCGGACGAUCUUCGUGAGCCGCUAGGGUUGCCGAGGCCGCCGAGCCUUACAGCCUUCGAUAUCAUAUCGUUCUCCAAGGGGUUUGACCUCUCCGGACUGUUUGAAGAAACUGGGGAUAUGACCAGGUUUCUUUCCAAGGAGCCUACGUCCACUAUUAUAUCCAAGCUAGAGGAGAUUGCGAAAGCUGCAAACUUUAAGGUAAGGAUGAAGGAUUGCAGAAUCUUCUUGGAAGGAACAAGGGAGGGGGAGAAGGGCCCGUUGACGAUUGGUGUGGAGAUAUAUGAGCUAACCCCUUCAAUGGUGGUGGUUGAAGUGAAAAAGAAAGCUGGGGAUGGAAAGGAGUACGAAGAAUUCUGCAUCAAUGAGCUGAAGACUGGCUUGAAAGAUCUAGUCUAUGAGUCACCACCCGUCGCAAAAGCCAGUACCAGCACUGGAUAGGCAAAUGUAGUGCAGUUUCUAUGUUUUUUUGAUGGCUGAGCACAUCGGAACAUCUUCUGUAAUGUUGGUAGGCUUUUUGAUAGAAGAGUACAAGCUGAGAUGAUAGGAGAGGAUUCUUGAUCUGAAAGCAUUACUGUUUGUUAUGCCAAAAUGAAACUGGAGCGCCACCGACAUCACUGAUUGUUACUUGGCGUGCAAAGCUUGUGUAGAUAUUGCUAAUUGUUCUUCAAAAGUCAAAACAAUGAUAUUCAAAUCCCUACCUCUCAAUUUAUCAACAUCUACAAUACAAUAGUUGAGGAUGGUACUCUUUAUUGUGCAAUCUUUUAUCUUUCAAUUUUUGCAUUUGGCUCGAAUUGGAAUAAGCAUGAUUAACUUGAUGAAUCUGCUUGAAUCAUGAAGCCAACAAAGAGGUAGGACUCCCCUGUCAAAGCAUAUGCUGCAUUAUGUUUAGAUUGCUAGAGAUUGUUUGCAAUUUUCUUCAUUCUCAUUGCUCGUGAAGGAGCAAAUAGCCAUCGAGUUAACCUUUUCUCUAUAAUCAAACAGUCCUCAUCCAAUAGGAUUUCCUGAAUACUUGCAUGAUUCAUGUAUAUUAUGAUGUAGGUCUGUAUGUUUUUUUGUGUGUUUGUUUGUUUAGACCUAGUAUGUAGUAGUGCCCAGAGUCAUGUAUAUCUGCUUUGUUAUAUGAUUUGUGUGAAUAUAUUUUGCAAGAGUUUUACAGCUACAGACCAGACCAGUAUCGUUGUAAAGGUCUCGCCCAUCUGUUGUUUUACUAGUAAUAUGGUCCUGCAUAGAGGUGAUGAGAUUCAUAUAACUGACCCUGCGUGGUUGGCACACACAUGGUACCAUGAAGAUGAUCAUUGAUAAUGAUGAUGAACUUGGAACGCUGGUGCUUGAAUGGACUCCCGAUGGUAGACAAGAUCCUAGAUGGCAUUGUCACCGUGGCCUACUGUUAACAUUCUCAGCCUUGCAGGCAUUUGCUAUCUAACUUAUUACCAGUUUUGGUACAAAAUUUGUCUGUGAAUAACAACCGUUUCUUAAAAAUUUAUUCUGCCGUAGGUUGCCUUGAGGCUGUAGCUGCUAGUCAAUUUAGCUUUUGCUCUUCUUGUCAUUAUCUUGUUGUCGGGUCGAGGAGAAACUCUCUGUAUUAUCCUUCAACUGCGUCUUGCCGUGACUACUGAUGAAGAUGACUCUUUUCCAUCUGUUUGAUGUCGUUUUCUUGACAUGGAAGUUAAAUGGUUAUAUUUAACUUUGGUUUUUUGCUCAACUUCUUCUCGUAGCAAGUGGUGUUAUGAAUUUAUUUCAUAAGUAUCUAUUUUGAGAAUUAGUUAGGCAAAGCUCGAAUUUUAAAAUUCUUUUAAGAAAAAUCAAAUGAAGAAAUCUGUUCUUUUGAAUAUACACACAUAUAUAUGUUUGAAAAGUUAAAUACGGAAUUUUUUUAUGUUUAUAUAUUUUUUUAAAUUAAAAACUAUGUUUUUUAUUAAAUAUUUAUUUUUCAUUAAUUUUCUUUAAGGUUGGAAAUGUGGGAGGCGGCCCAUGAUCCUUUUAGAAGCCCAAACGCAUGUUUUUUUUAUACGCGAGGAGAAUUUAAUUAGUUGUAUUCUUUCUUGCAAGCGAAAUCGAAGAAAAGCAAUGGCGAGGCGAUCACAUCUGAUGGAGAUCGGGUGCAUCGCCUGCGACGAGCUGUCGGAAGUCGGCGCAGGCGAGAGAGAGGGGUGGCUCGAUGAUCCCUCCCUCCUCGCCGCUCUCCACCACCACUCCCUCGCUCUUGCCUCCGCCACUCGCCCGAUUGCCCUAGUCCUUGGUUGGGACCACGAUCAUCGAUUCUCCUCCUCCGCUGUCCGAGACCCAAUCAAGAUUCACCCGGUGUUGUCUCCAUACGAAGGCCGUAUUACCGCCCUCGAGUGGCUUCCCUUCGGUGACGUCCUCGCUCUGGCACUCGGCACCUCUGCCGGACUCCUCCUCAUCUUCUCUGUUGGAGGCGAUCUGAUCCACAAGCAGCUUGUUCAUACUGGGCAUAUAUUGAGGCUUAGAUUUCGCCAAACUGCAAAAGCAGAUGGAAUUGGGGAAGGCUCCAUUUCUGAGGAACUUUGUGUGGUAUUGCCUGGCGUGGUUGCCCGCUUUGAUGGUUCGGAUAUACAGAGUUUACUUCAUAGAUGGUUUCAAAAGUCCGAAACAGGAAUGUGGGAGAAUAGCCUUAAUAAAUUGGAGUCAGAGGAUGAUGAAACUUCAUAUGGGAGGAUACCUUUUCAGGUUUGGAAUGUUGGCAAGUUUGGAAGUUGUGUUGAUGCAGCUAUCACAAGCAUAAUGCCACCGCCACUCUUGGAGCUCCAGCUGUCUUUAUUACUGGGCAGUCAAGUCAGCGUUUCUAUUGUGCGAUUACCAUUGGGAAUGAUUCUGUGAUUUCUGCAUAUAGGCUUUCAGAGGAUAGGAGUAGAUCUUUAGUUGGAACAAUCCUCUCGAAGGUUGUCCCUGUUACAUUCUCAACCAUUGCAUCAUUUUCAAAAUUGAUAUGGCGAAAUGAGUCUAAUGCAACAAGGAAGUCCCGCCCAACACCUCAGUCAUUUGCUAAAGCAUCUCCUUUAACUUGUCUUAAAGAUACACGAAGGAAGGGAGAGAAACUCACAUUGUCUCCAAGUGGUACCUUGGCUGCAAUAACAGAUUCUCUAGGAAGAAUUCUGUUACUAGAUACUCAGGCACUUGUAGUUGUGCGACUGUGGAAGGGAUAUCGCGAUGCUUGCUGUCUUUUUGUUGAGACGCUAGUAAGCAAAGAUAGAGCAUCAUCGAGUUCCAGUAAUUAUGAAUAUACAAAAGGCGACUAUUGUUUGUGUUUAGCAAUUCAUGCACCUCGCAAAGGGAUAAUUGAGAUUUGGAAGAUGCGAACUGGGCCUCGCCUUCUAACAGUCCCUUGCCCUAAAGGAAGCAAAAUUCUUCAGCCAUCCAUUAGGUCUGGAUCCUCGUCCCAAUCGCCAUAUAUUCCCUUGGAAGUUUUUGUACUCAACGGAGAUUCUGGACAAAUAUCUGUUCUAAACCGAUCACUUUCUUGAUAUUGGUAAGAGACUCGAUACAGUUCUGAGCACUUUUUUAAUCUCCAUUUACUGGUAUUUGUUGUGCAUUUUGUAUAUUUCAAGCACAAAUUCAACCUUAUUCAAAUAAUACUUUUUGUC